rnacentral:rRNA from 1 species
CCUACGGGAGGCAGCAGUGGGGAAUAUUGCGCAAUGGGGGGAAACCCUGACGCAGCAACGCCGCGUGAGUGAGGAAGGACUUCGGUCUGUAAAGCUCUGUUAAUGUGGAAAAAAUGGUUAGUGGUCUAAUAGGCCAUUGAUUUGAUGGUACACAUAGAGGAAGCACCGGCUAACUUCGUGCCAGCAGCCGCGGUAAUACGAAGGGUGCAAGCGUUGUUCGGAUUUAUUGGGCGUAAAGCGCGCGUAGGCGGACCUGCAAGUCAGAUGUGAAAUCUCGGGGCUCAACCUCGAAACUGCGUCUGAAACUACAGGUCUAGAAUCUUGGAGGGGGGAAGGGGAAUUUCUCAUGUAGGGGUAAAAUCCGUAGAUAUGAGAAGGAACACCAGAGGCGAAGGCGCCUUCCUGGACAAGUAUUGACGCUGAGGCGCGAAAGCGUGGGGGAUCAAACAGGAUUAGAUACCCUGGUAGUCCACGCUGUAAACGAUGAAUACUAGAUAUUGCAGGAUUUGACCCCUGCAGUGUCGUAGCUAACGCGUUAAGUAUUCCGCCUGGGAAGUACGGUCGCAAGACUUAAACUUCAAAUUGAUUGACGG